GCCAGCGUAGCUCAGUUGGUAGAGCAGUUCAUUCGUAAUGAACGGGUCACCAGUUCGAGUCUGGUCGCUGGCUCCA
rnacentral:tRNA from 1 species